AGAGCUACAAAUGAGCAACGGACAGCGACGUUGAAGAGAACUGUUCAACAUCGAGUGAGCAGAGCGUUGAAGAUUCUUCCUGGUGAUCUGCUGCCCAUCAUCAACAGUGUUGGGGACUUCUGUGUGCUUCUUCUCACUUCCUGC